GCAGAGAUUAAGACUUGUACCUUUUGCAUCAUGAUUUAGCUAGUAUAAAUCAAGCGAAGGGAACUUUAGUUUGAAACCCCGAAACCAAGUGAGCUACUCCGAGACAGCCUGACAAUAGGGCGAACCCGUCUCUGUCGCAAAAGAGUGGGAUGAGCUCCGAGUAGCAGUGAUAAGCCUAUCGAACUUGGUUAUAGCUGGUUGCCCGGGAAAUGAAUAGCAGUUCAGCCCCACGGCUUCUCCUUAUACCGCGGGAGUUAGUCAAAGGGGGUACAGCCCCUUUGACAUAGGACACAACCUUCACAGGAGGGUAAAGAUCAUAAUUAGUAUAAGGUUUUAUGUUCUGGUGGGCUUGAAAGCAGCCACCCUAUUAGAAAGCGUUAAACCUCAGACAUAAUAUCCGGAUAAUCUUAUCUCAACCCCCUAAUUUUACCGGGCCUAUCCAUACCAAUAUGGAAGUGACCAUGCUAAUAUGAGUAAUAAGAGAGGCCUCUCUCCUUGCACGAGUGUAAAUCGGAACGAACCCGCACCGAAUCUUAACGGCCCCAAAAGAAGAGGGUAAUGGGCCACAACAAGAAAAGUACCCACCGUUAACCCCACACUGGUGUGCCUCCAAGGAAAGACUAAAAGAAAAAGAAGGAACUCGGCAAACGAGCCUCGCCUGUUUACCAAAAACAUCGCCUCUUGCAAGUAUAAGAGGUCCCGCCUGCCCUGUGACUAUAUGUUUAACGGCCGCGGUAUUUUGACCGUGCGAAGGUAGCGCAAUCACUUGUCUUUUAAAUGGAGACCUGUAUGAAUGGCAUAACGAGGGCUUAACUGUCUCCUUUUUCAGGUCAAUGAAAUUGAUCUCCCCGUGCAGAAGCGGGGAUAAAGACAUAAGACGAGAAGACCCUGUGGAGCUUUAGACACUAAGGCAGACCAUGUUAAUAACCCCUAAAUAAAGGCUGAAACAAGCUGACCCCUGCCCGCAUGUUUUUGGUUGGGGCGACCGUGGGGGAAAAAAUAGCCCCCAUGCGGACCGGGAGAACUCCUAGAAGCAAGAACCACAGUUCUAACUAACAGAACUUCUGACCUAUAAGAUCCGGCUAACGCCGAUCAACGGACCGAGUUACCCCAGGGAUAACAGCGCAAUCCCCUUUGAGAGCCCCCAUCGAUAAGAGGGUUUACGACCUCGAUGU
rnacentral:rRNA from 1 species